CAUUUAACAUUUUCUGGCGAAAGACCUCAUCAAAGUUUUACAGUCUGGAAGAAGAAAAGAAGCCCAGACAUCUAAAACAAUGAAGACAGAAGGAUUUACCAAAUAAGAUGAAUAAAGAAAAAAUGAGACCAGUACACCAAAACAGGACCAAAUAGGCCAUGACUGUAGAAGUUAUGGUGCAUUCUGCAAGAAAAUGGACAGCUUUUUUUCUUUACAAGGUUGAAAAUUUCACCUCAAACAUAUUUGAGUAGGGAUGCCAUAUCAUUUAGGUUUAAAACCAGGAAAGUGAAAGCUGAACUCCAACCCACUUCAACAUACUGGUACCCAUUCUCUUCAAGAUAUCAAUGUUUGAGCUGUCAAAGUUCAAAUGUAACAGGAACAUGUUUAUUCUAAAGAAAGACAUAUGAGGACAUCUUCAAAUCUGAACGCCCAUAUUACAGUUUGUUUUAGAACUUAUCAAGCUUCAUCCUGUACCUUGCCAGAAAAACUCAACUCUGCAUAAUUCUCAUUAACUAAUUAUCAGUGUUACUUGCAUAUGUCAAUGUAGGUCAUUACAUGCCUGACCAACAAAAGAAAUGAGAUGGGCUCUAAAAGUGAAAAAAAAAAAAAAACAGAGACAAGAUUUACAGAGAAUACCGUAAAGGUGGCAUAUAUAAAAAAAGUUUAAAAAAUUCUCUUUUGUUUUUGGAAUUUAUAUUUACAUGAAUAAAGAGAAGGAAAUUGACUAAGCUGAUGUGAUGAGAUGUUGGCAGGAACCUAAAAUGAAACUUAAAUUGGAAAGUGAAAGGAAGAACUUCCUUAAAAUGAUACAUGUGGGGGACAAUAUUUCACAAUUUUCAACUGGCUUUACAGAAUACAGAUGAUCCACUGCAAACCUAAUUAUUAAUUAUAUGACAAACACUUUGUUUAAAUUUGUAUGUAUAAUUUUCUCAUGUACUAAAAAGUAAAAUUAUGCAUGUAUUAAUAAUCUGUUGUUUAAGGUCAAGAUCUAGUAAAUGACUUUAGACAGUCUUUUCGGUGCUAGAUCCAUUAUGACGUCAUAAUCAAUUUAAACUUUCCUUUUCCCGUACUUUACAGCUCCAAUAGAAUUGUGUAGAAAAUAAAGUA